UCGACCUCCUCUGACACCGACAGCAUUGAGGGCGAGGCGACGCGGCGGGGCAAGGCCACUGCUAGUGGUUGCCGCGCCCCCAUGGCCGGAAGCCGCCGCCGCGGCGUCCGAAGAGCGGGGUCGCAGCAGCAGGGCAACCAAUCCUCGCCGCUGCCAGGCGCCACCCUCAACACCAGCGAAGUUACCAUUGUGGAGAGCCCCUCAAAGAACACCUGCCAUGCCUCAGGCUCGACCUCCUUGACUCCAUCUGGAACUCAUGUCUGUGCAGAUCUCCUGGAUAGCCUGCUUCACGAAGUCAUUGUUCUCAUUAACUCAUUCCGUGACUUCCUUGCUUUUAUUGGCACCUGCCGCUCUUGGCGCACUGCAGUCUCUUCCUUCCCCUCUGUGUAUACCUUCAGCUUCCCGCCUCUCCAUUUCGAACCAGAUGGUCCUUAUUUUUGUCCACAUAGCAAAGGUAUCAAGCCCCUCCUUUCAUCUGAUUGCAAAUGGAAGCUCAGUGAUCCUAGCAAGGAAAACUUAUCCCUUCUCUGUGCAUUGCCUCAAAGUACUCCAAAUACAAUGUACUAUUUGGGUUGCUCAUAUGGGUAUCUUAUCUUCACCUAUGAGGAGGACUGCCUCCUUGUUAAUGCCUACACUGGUACCAAGGUGAAGACCCCAAAACUCCCAUGCAACAAUUACCUUGGUUGGUUUUCUGGCAUAGGCGUCCUUACGGCUCCAUUCAGCUCACUCGACUCUCGCGUCCUCCUUUUCUCGAAGGCUUCAAUGUUUGAGUGGCAGGUUGGAACAAAAUCCUGGUCAGUUCAUCCUCUUGCUCUUGAUCAUGAACGCAUCCAUCAGAUUGUGUUCUUCAAAGGUCAUAUCCUUGUCAUAGAUGCUCUUAUGAGACUUCACACUGUGCAACUGACACCUCAGUUCAGCAUGCAAGAAGUAGCAAUUAUGUGGCAGGCCCUGCAGACCUUGCCUGUUAACCCAUGGUUGGUGGCCUGUGGUGACAUGCUUCUCAUGGUUGACUUCACGUUUGUCUCACUUGCCUCUGACGAGCUUAGUAACUAUUCUAGAACCUUUGAGGAGGUUGAGUUUUCUAGAAUCUUUGAGGUCUUUCGCCUUGACUUCUCGGUCAAACCAGCUAAGUGGGUGAAGAUGGAAAAGUUGGAAAAUCAAGCUCUGUUUGUUAGCCUUGAUAAGAGGAAUCCUGCAUUUUGUUGCAUGAACCCUGAAAGAUGGGGAGGAAAGAGUAACUGCAUUUAUGUUGCUAGACUAUUUGAGGAUCUUGAUGAAACUUGGACAGCUGUGGAGCUUGGUCAGUCAGUGCCGAACCACAACACAGUUCACAGCAUGAUGUAUGGCGGUGCUCGUCCUCGUUAUUAUAUUAGUUAUAUAUUAGUGAUUAUAUUGCAGAAGGAAAUUAUCAAGGAUAAAGAAGCUAGGUUAAACAUGCAUGGCAACACUCAAUGGCUUUGCUAAUUAACUACGUAAUUAGUUAAAUAAGUAAUUAAGCCGUGCUCGUCGUUGUUAUUGCUUCAUCUGCAGGAUCGGGUGCUGCUCCAUGGCUGGGCGAUGAUGAGAGUACCUGUUGAGGCUCGGCUUUGACGACGCUUGUUGGUGUCGCUGGAGCAAUAAGAGAAGGUUGCUGCUUCAUGACGGAGAGGGCGACGUUGAGUGCCCGCAGCGCCUCGCUGAGGAGGCUCUGGGCCAGCAGCUGGGUGGAGGAGUAGGAGGGGCUGCUGGAUCUUGAUGCGCUCGUACACCUGCGCCACCACCUCCACCGCGUGCUCACGAUCCGCCACACAACAAUAAUCCUCCAUUGUGCUAGCUCUGGGUAUAUCUAGCUGUGUGUUUGUGGUAACGAGAGCUACCAAAGCGCGUGGAAUUCGACAGGACACAGGUACGGUGGUGCACAAGCAGCUGCAGGUCCAUGCAUGAGCAGGUGAGCUAGCUCACUAUAUACAAGUUAACUGAUGAAGGUGUGGGCCCUAAUAACGAACCCAAUGCAAGUUAAUUACUAGGAAGAUGCUUGGAAUAUAAUGAAGCUCGGAACCUGCUUUUUCUUUA